rnacentral:rRNA from 1 species
AUUGAACGCUGGCGGCAUGCCUUACACAUGCAAGUCGAACGGUAACAGGUUAAGCUGCCGAGUGGCGAACGGGUGAGUAAUGUACCGGAACGUGCCCAGUCGUGGGGGAUAACUGCUCGAAAGAGCAGCUAAUACCGCAUACGACCUGAGGGUGAAAGCGGGGGAUCGCAAGACCUCGCGCGAUUGGAGCGGCCGAUAUCAGAUUAGGUAGUUGGUGAGGUAAAGGCUCACCAAGCCGACGAUCUGUAGCUGGUCUGAGAGGACGACCAGCCACACUGGGACUGAGACACGGCCCAGACUCCUACGGGAGGCAGCAGUGGGGAAUUUUGGACAAAGGGCGCAAGCCUGAUCCAGCCAUGCCGCGUGCGGGAAGAAGGCCUUCGGGUUGUAAACCGCUUUUGUCAGGGAAGAAAAGGUUCUGGCUAAUACCUGGGACUCAUGACGGUACCUGAAGAAUAAGCACCGGCUAACUACGUG